AGGCGGAUCCAAAUUUUAAUCUUGUACACAUACUUUUAAACACGAAUUAAACAUUGAAUCUAUGGCACAAGCAUUUUAAAAAAGAUGAAGAACUUACAUUUAGCUAGUCAUCGAAUCUUUUUAAAACCCAGAACUAGUCGUUGAAUGAAGUUUUUAAUUCAAGUUGUUGCGUGGACCGUGAGGCUGUAAUUUCGGUAAACUUCGGAUUGAUCUCGGUAGUUUACGGAAUAAAAUGCUUUUUCAGUUCGAGUCAAUAUCAAAGGCCACAAUUCGAAUAUUUUUAUUUCAGUUGAUAGAUAAUUAAAGAAAACAACAAGAUGAUAACAAAUGUGUUGUUUAAAUACGUUUAAAUGUACAUCUUUUAAAAUAAAACGAUGUCUCCGAGACUAUAAAAUUCAAGAUGGCGGCGCCCACGAAAAGUCCGACAGGCAAGGAACGGUUCAAGAAAAGACAUAAUUUGACGCGCACUGAGGUGCUUUAGAAGAUCGUACUUGUGAAAUAAACUUAUUUGUGAUUCCAUGCAUAUUUGUGAGGAAUGCUGUUAUGGUAUAACCCUAAUUUUAACCAGUUAGAGACUAAGAGUUCGUAAGAUGACUCGGAGGGUCAUCGAGUUUGAUGUUCAUUGCCUCAAAUUGCGUUCAAAUUGUCACAUCGGACCAUUAUUCUUUUGCAAGAGAGCAAUUAAAUGUGAGUGAAACUCUGGUUAGGUGGUUUUUGUACAUACAGUGCGGAAAUUGCUUGCAGUUGGCAUCGGUGUUCCCAAAAGCUGAGAAAAUCCAAAGGGAUGCAGAACUUCAGUGUCGAUACUCAAUACACAGAUUGUAACAGCUAUUAUCUACAGUUCAUUGUGGGAGACCCUCAAUGUGUCGUCAACAUUAAAUCUGCAAUUAAUACAUGAAAGGAUUUUAAAGGUGUUCAAUGCUGAAAAAUCAAAGUACUUCGGGUAUUUGUGCCUGCUGAUUGGUAAAGUUUCAUGAAGAGGAGUCUGGCAGAGACGAUAGCACUUUCUCAUCUAAGCUGAUCUAUAGCUAUGUCAGAAAUGAUGAAAAUAGAUUAAUUUAUGUUUUCUCCCAAAACCAGUGAUGGCAAACCUAGAGUGGCUGGAACAUCUAAAGUUCUACAAAAUAUUGCCCCAAAGUUGUGUGAAUGUUUUGCUGCCACAUAAAUUUAUCAAUUGUAUCUAAACAAGUUUGUCUGUAUUAUGGAUCCUCUACUAAGUAUAACAUAUACCUUAUGAGAUUACUGUCGGAGUCCUUAUAGUAUCUACAUUUAUAUCACAAGUACUAUUUAUUGUAUCAUUAAAAUCUUGAAAUUUAUUUUCUAGGUCAUUCUGUAUCGAAUGUUUAUCACUCUGCUUUGAUACAAUUUACUGUCACUAUCAAUUUUUAACUUCAGUAUUUCUGUUCAAAUUUUUUUUAUUCUUUUGUGUACAUUUUUAAAUUCUAGACAUAAUAAUAAAUUCACAUUUGCAGAACUUCAAACCAUUUUCAUUUAUGUAAAUCAAUUUUUUACAUUGAGUUAUGAGAUUCAUUCAUAAUUUUUGACUUGCAAAAAAGUCAUAGUCACUCUCUGUAUAUUUUUUCUGCUUGAGAAGUAUUACACUAAGUGCACAUGUAUUGACCUGUCAAUCAAAAUCACCGGACGCUGUAUGCAUUGCAAUAAAGUUGUUCGAAAUGAUUUUUAUAAA